UGAGAUAAAGCUUUCUCUCUUCCAGCUUGGGCUCAGUCCACAAAUAAUAGCAUCCAUAAUUAUGCAGGUGCUUUGUCACGUUCUUCCAUCCUUGGUGAAGCUGCGAAAGGAAGGCUUAGAUGGUCACGAGAAGAUCAAGAGUUACAUAUGAUGGCUAUCGUUUCUCUUUGCUAUAGUGGAAGCUGUAGUGGUGGCUUGCACUUCUCUCCAAUAUUCAGUUUUUGCAGCCACCUCUCAGACACCAAUGAGGCAUGGACAAAGGCUACUGUCAUCGGCUUUUUGAAGUUACAGGCCACCGUUUUGUGUUUGUGUUUUGGGUUUCAUUUGAUAACAAUUGAGUCUUUAUGGCAUCGGUG